rnacentral:rRNA from 1 species
CCCUGCCAUUUGUACACACCGCCCGUCGCACCUACCGAUUGAAUGGUUCGGUGAAAAUUUCGGACUGUGAUUCGGUUGCUUUCGGGCAGCUGAUUUGUGGAAAGUUGUUUAAACCUCAUCAUUUAGAGGAAGGUGAAGUCGUAACAAGGUUUC